UUCCAUGCAUUUCGACGGAGAAACCAUCGAAAUUAGCGCGAGGUCUUUCCGGAGUCAAAGGAAGACCGAGGAGCCACAUACAUUGCAUCUGCAGUUGAAUCCCACAAGGAUAUCCGAAGCUCACUGUACAUGUCAAGCAGGCAUUACAACAAUAGCAGAUGAUGGGCUUCACAGAAGUGCCAUCUAGACUGGCAUGCACAUCUCUUCCAGAGCAAUGGAACAAGCCAAGAGGUCACAAGAUUGAGCCAGUUGCAGUUCCACAAGUUGUAUUUGUCAACUGCAAACUUGUAAGAAAGAAAAGACCUGUGAGGAACACAUUGACAGACUGCAGAAACAUUAAAGUCCAAAAAAAGAUAUUGAUCACUUAAAGUCUUUGGAAGACUGUUCAAUGGCCUAUGUGGUGUCCAGCCCAAGACUCACAGUGAACACUCAUCUGGGUACAGUGCCUGUGGCCGGUGGUCUUGCAACAUCUGCCACGUUCUUUGAACUAGAAGAUGCAAGGAAAGUUGGGACCUGUUGUGGUAACCUCGCCUUCCCUCAAUCGGCAAAAGUUACCCCAGCUGAAAUAUUCAAGACAUAGUUCAGUGAACGACAUCAAGAACAGUGUAUCAAGAUAGAAGAAAGCACAAGGGACCAAGCCAACAGUACUCUGUGGCACACAGAAAGAAACAAACGUGUUUCAAAUCAACGAUGUAUUGUAGAUUCUAAAUACAAUACAUUCUUAACUGAGAGAGACGCUAUGCUUCUGAUUUCAUUCAAUCAUUCACACGUAGCAAUGUUAUGCUAGCGGAGAACGUCUCAUUCAUUUAUACGAGACGUGUAUUAAAAAUCAAAUAUAGGGCAUAUCUUCUUGCAAACACAGUCCGGUUAAGCUUCGGUCGCGAGCCGGCAACAAAGCGACACGUUUGUGCAGUCGGAUCAUCGCUAAAUAUCGCUCAACAAAGAAUAAGUGUGUCAAUCGUUCACACGUAGCUAUGUUAUGCUAGCGAAGAACGUCUAAUUCAUUUAUGUGAGACAUGUAUUGAAAAUCAAAUAUAGGGCAUAUCUUCGUGCAAACACAGUCCGGUUAAGCUUCGGUCGCGAGCCGGCAACAAAGAGACACGUUUGUGCAGUCGGAUCAUCGCAAAAUAUCGCUCAACAAAGAAUAAGUGUGUCAAUCGUUCACACGUAGCACUGUUAUGCUAGCGAAGAACUUCUAAUUCAUUUAUACGAGACAUGUAUUGAAAAUCAAAUAUAGGGCAUACCUUCGUGCAAACAUAUCUGUUCCGGUUGAUGUUAGAUGGAUUCAGUUGAUGAUGAGUUUGAUCCAUCAAAGGCAUUUUUCGUACUGGGUCUUCGGUUUUUGGAAAGGGUACGAAUCGAACUCCACCAACUAGCCCUUCAGGAUACCUGUCGUCACUAUUACUAAGUCCGUGACUACACCUCUUAACCAUAUUUUUUGUUAAAUAACCCAAAUACGCAAUAAAACGCUAAUAAAACCAAUCCUGGACCAUGCAAUGUUGUCUGAGAAAAUGGCGGGUGCAAAAAAGGCGUGGUUUAUGCAGAUUUCUGGCCUCCGAUUGGUCGACGACGCGGAUGACGCAAUUUCUACGGAGGGGUCAAUUCUAACAAAAACAAGCAUACGUGACGUCAACUCACCAUACAAUCUGAAAUGUAAUUUCCGCCCCUGCUAUAAUUAAUGUCCUGAUCGAUACGAUUAACGUCAUUGUUGUUGCUGUAUAAGUUAAGAGUAGGUGUCACACUUGUAAUUUGUUGUACUGUACUGUUUUUAUUUUUUUAUUGAAAGAAAUACUUCAUUUAGUGCGUGAAACUGAAAGAACGAGCUUUUGAGCAGUUAUCAAUUGAUAAACUGGGGGAUGUCUAGAAAAUGUCAAUAAAAACGAUGCUUCAUCUACAUCUAUGAUGAACCUGAGUUAUCCAUGUCCCGAGUAAAUUUUAAAAUGUAUUGUAAGAUGUCAAUUGUCACCUUGCAGAUUUUCUUGAAGUAAAUGAGCAGCCUGCAUGUGUUACUUUUGUAUGACAAAAGUGACUCAGUCACAGUAGAACGUCUGUUCAAGUACAAAUGAAAUUGUGUGUCAUUGCUGCUCAAGUUGAGUUUCAAAUCAAGUUAUUUGAAUUUGAGUCUUAAGUCAUCAAUGUCAUUACCCGAGUUCAAGUCAUGUGACUCGGGUCCACACCUCUGCCAAACACCCACUGGAGAUCCCCAGUCCUGGUUCAAAACUUGGAUAAACGAAGGGUUGUGUUAGGAAAGGUGCUGAGCAAAACAAAAAUACAUUUUUACAUAGACCAAAGAGACAAAACACAAAAAAAGAGAACGCAAGAAAAAAAAAUUGCAUUGUUGCUUUUUUCUGUGUCAAAGUGCCAAAUGGGCAGUACAGUGUGGGAGCUGUGGAACGUUGGCCUCACACUUCUGAGGACGGGUUCAAUUCCCGGCCAUGCCUGUGUGGAGUUUGCAUGUUCUCCCCGUGCCUGCGUGGGGUUUCCCCAGGCACUCCGGUUAUCCCAAAAACAUGCAUCAAUUGGAGACUUGAGAUUGCCCAUAGGUGUGAUUGCAAGUUCCACUGUUGUCUCUCCAUGUGCCCUGCGAUAGACUCACAACCAGUUCAGGGUGUACCCCGCCUCCUGCCCUAUGAAAGCUGGCAUUGGCUCCAGCACUCCCGCGACCCUUGUGAGGAUAAGUGGCUCAGAAAAUGGAUGGAUAGUGCCAAACGUUCCACACAUCUCUGUACCUUGCACACAAGCCGCCAUGUUAAAUUGUGGGUUGAGUCCAUUUGAAAACAAAGUGCACACACAAUAAGGUAUGUAGACGCGUGAAUGCACAUCGGUGAGGUCAGCUCAUUCCAAAAAGCACUAAUCUGCUGUUAAUGUGUCAGCGUGUACUUGGAAGGUUUCCCGAACAGAUGUUGGAGGCAACCAACAUCCUGCCUGCCGCAAGCAUGUUCUGCUUCUAGUUCCUGUCCAGCCGAAAUUGCUGCACACUGCUGAAGUCAGGAGCAACGGCCACCUCCCAGUUGACACAAUACAGUAUUGGCAUUCAGAAGUUUUUGUUUUGAAUAGGGAAUAAAAGUGCAUUGAUACCUAGAUACGUAGCUCGCUCGUCAGACUCCACGUCAUUCCCAUCCGAAGAACCAAUCGAAUAUUCAACAUUAUUUACAGCCACAGGUUCAAAUCUGUAUGGAAGUAUUCCGCCGUCUUCCCGAUCAACCGAUACUGCUAUUUCUUCAUCAGAUGAGGAUAAAUCCGAGCAAUCAGCGAUGGGCAUAACAACGUCCCAUGUAAUCGAGCCUUUGGUGCGGCACCUCAUACGUCACAUCUGCGCACGUAGGUCAUGUGACUCGCCAAAAAUGGCGGCGCCCCUGAAAAUUUCUAAUUGUCGAUUUAAAAAAUCUUCUCAAACCACCAUUAAAUGAGAGAGGAUUAACAUUACAUUAUCGAGAUACAGUACAUAUUACAUGACCUAUUGGAUACAUUGUUGAUCCAAACCACCAGAAUUUCCCUUUAACAAACUAAAACACGAAAAAAUGUAACUUUUUUUGUUUUCAUUUUUUUCAGCAUUUAUUCAACUAUUUUGUAUUAAACAGCCUUGAAUUCUGCUGAGGUUAACACCAGUAAAAGUGACCAAGAAUAAAUGAGAAUAUAGCUUGGAUGCAGAAGCUGGGAUGGAACCUGGAACUGUGAAGGAGAAAAAGGAAUCUUUAAUGUGAUCCAGUUUUAGGUGGUGGAUUAUUUUAAAGCCUCCCAUCCCACCCCCGACUGAGGAGUGCCCUGAUGAAUUUAUCCAUCGUCUCUGGCAAAAGAACAAAUGAAGCUUGACGCAGCAAAUAUUCUCUCCGAUGUACAGUGUUUGUUCGUCCCCUGCGGAGAUCAUUAUGCAAAUGUUGGACAAAAGUCACCUAAACUGAGAUACUGACCUCCAACUGUGUAAUCUCCCUUUCCUUUUUUGACCUUGUCACACUUGACGUCAGAAUCAACGUAUCUCUGGAGGGUCAGUUCCUGCACUACAUCCACCGACACCAGUUCCUCGACUCGCCCGAGUGGGAGUCCCUGCGGCCCAAUGAAGACGGAAAGUUUCAGGUUACUUUGACGGCGGAGGAGGACUGUCGCUACGUGUCGU